AAGAUGUUGCACCAGCAGCGAAUAUGAAUAAUGAAGAACUUCAAGUUCAGAACGAAAAUUUGCGUCAUGUUAUUCAUCAAAUGAUAGAGGAUUUGGAGGAUUUGACGAAACAGUUGACUCAACGUACCACUGGAUCGAUUACUAAUGCAGGAGAUGGCGUACCAAUCAGAGAAGAAUAUGUGACAUGUCUGGAAAAAGAAAUUCGAGAAGUGAAGGCGAGAAACCGCGAACUGACCCAAUCCAUGGCUAAUACAAAUGCUAAAACUGAAAAUACUGAGCCAACUUACGUUUUAGAUUGAAGUAGUUUACGCCAAGAG